rnacentral:lncRNA from 1 species
UUCCUGGGCCCACAUGGCAUCCUCCCACCCUCUGAGCACCUGCUUCCUCAAGAAUUUAAUUUUCCUUUGUUGAAUACAGCUCUCAGAGACAGACAUCCCAACCUCUAACCCAGGCUUCGAACAGGGAUUGGGAAGAGUGUGGACAAAUUAGAACAUACAGCAGGAAGUUCACUGUGAGCCCCAUUACGGUGAGUUGGUGCCGAAUCAAAGAUGUCCUUAACACGAAUCGCAGGCGCAGGAUGGUGUCACCAUCAUCUGACACAGAAUCGAUUUCCCAUGUUUCUCCAGGGAACUGGCAGGGAAAAUGAAACCGGCAGAGCAGA